AUUGAACGCUGGCGGCAGGCCUAACACAUGCAAGUCGAGCGGAGCGGCGGACGGGUGAGUAAUUCCUAGGAAUCUGCCUGGUAGUGGGGGAUAACGUCCGUAAACGGGCGCUAAUACCGCAUACUAUCAGAUGAGCCUAGGUCGGAUUAGCUAGUUGGUUGGGUAAAGGCCUACAAAGGCGACGAUCCGUAACUGGUCUGAGAGGAUGAGCAGUCACACUGGAAAUGAGACACGGUCAAGAAGCCGACGGGAGGAAGCAGUGGGGAAUAGUGGACAAUGGGCGAAAGCAUGAUGCAGCGAUGCCGCGUGAGUGAAGAAGGUCUUCGGAUUGUAAAGCUCGUUAAGUUGGGAGGCGUUACCAACAGAAAAAGCACCGGCUAACUUCGUGCCAGCAGCCGCGGUAAUUC
rnacentral:rRNA from 1 species